GUCCAAUUUCACUGCCACAACACAGGGAAGUAGAACAAAGGGGGAUCGAACAUGAAAGUUUUCUACUAUUAUGUUAUAUUCACAUCUUUUUUUGUUUCAGGCAAGAUGGAGAGUAUUUGAGCGGUCAAAUAGAGGAUAUGAGAAGAAAAAAAGAAUAACUUCUAUGUGGAAAAAUAACCUUGCAGAAGACAGACAAUGAUGGAAACCUCCUGACCCCUUCUACCUCUUCAUCAGAACCAAAAUUUACCUCUGUUUCCUCCUUACGCACUCUAAUAAUCUGCCAUGAGACGGGAUGUUAGAAGUUACAUCACAAGAGGAGGGAAUGAAGAAUUUGGUAGCACUGAGGUGCUGGAAGAGGGAUAGAGAGCACCGUGAGAGCGGUGUGGAGGAUUGCUGUAAUGUGACUGUGGAAGCCAAGCCAGGAGGAUGAGGUUCCAAGUGCAGUAACCUUGCUCAGGCACAAGAUGAUGGACUAGAGGAGGCACUCCCAAUCACUGUUACCCCAUGGACUCUGUAUGGUUAACAAAUAUCACUUAAAUUUAAAUUAAGCAGAUAAUUAAAAUAAGUUAUGUCUAUA
rnacentral:lncRNA from 1 species